UUCGUUUAUUUUAAAGACAGAGAGCAUAAGCAGGGGGAGGGGCAGAGGGAGACUCCCAAGCAGACUCCCCGCUAAGCGUGCAGCCCCGUCAUGGGCUCGAUCCCACGACACAGAGAUCGUGACCCAAGCCGAAGUCAUGAAUCAGAGGCCCAAUUGACCAAGCCACCCAGGCACUCCCUUCCAUACCUUCUUGAUUGAUCUGUUUAUAUCUGUGCCUGACCCUCCAGCCAGACUGGAAAGGAAGGGGCCACGUUUGUAUGUUCAGCUCCUACAAAGGUCUGUGAGCACCUUCCCUAGGCUGGGCGCCGCAGUACGGUCCCCAGCACCGACAGGUGACCUCCUCCCUGUGCCGGGCAGGUAAGCAGUGCUGGUGGUCCGGUUUUCAGAAGCGUCUUUGUAGCAGCCGCCUGUACGUGGGCCUCCUGAAAGUACUUGUCUGGUGACGCCGGCGAACGCAGGGGAGAGGCGGGUGCUGCUGGCGGUUCGCGUGUACCUCUGCGUGCGGGGCGUGAUGCCUGGAGCCCCAUCAGCUGUGCCUCAUCAGACCCCCGCGUGCGGAGGCACACCGGCUCGCGGCUUCUCCGCGGAAGCGGGAGCACAGGGCGGGCCAAGCAGGCGUGCGGCGGAGACCAGGCACACCUGCGGGGACCGGGCACACCGGCGGGGACCGGCGGGGAACUCGGCCCAGGCGCAAAGCCCCCUGAGAAGUUAGCAAAACACUGACCCACAAAUAAGUACUAGAAAAGAAAGCGAGGUUCAUAACCAAGUCACCAAAGGGAGGCGUUUGCAUUGUUCAUUUUGAUGUGCUGAUAAACCCACAGCCCUGAAGGAAACACCUAUCAACACCUCUGUUUCUUCAGCCAGCGGUCUGAUGUUGCUUACUUCUGAUGACGUUCUCAUUCUUCCCAUGCCACCGGAUAUUUCAAAGAAAAAUUGCAUAUUCUUACUUAUUCGUUAAAUAUUUUUCUUUUUAAAUUUACAAAAAUGCUAAAUGAGUAAGUUCAAGUGGAUGAGACCUUAUACACACACACUCCCUCUUUCUCAAGCCCCUAUGUGCGUAUAUUACUUUUUCCAGACAGUUCGGAUUGUUUUUCCCUUCUCUGACAUACUCCCUGGUGGUCACUUGCAGGCAAGCCCUUUCUUGAGCCAUGGGGGAGUGACUCGUGUCAGAAACAGAAUUGCAGCCACAAAAGGACCUUCCAUUGUGCCAGCGAGUGGAGCAUUGGUUUGUCUUGAAAUGGGAGCAGAUCGAGGGCAACUCCAAGCUGCGGCACGUGGGCAGCAACCUGUGCCUGGACAGCCGCACGGCCAAGAACGGGGGCCUGAGCGUGGAGGUGUGCGGCCCAGCCCUGUCCCAGCAGUGGAAGUUCACGCUCAACCUGCAGCAGUAGGAGACCCCGCGAGGCCACGCCGGCCCGGCCCCCACGCUGGUCGGCUGAGUUUGGUGAUCACGUUAUCGAUUAUGUUUCUUGAACCUUCUGCGAAACUAUAUACCUCAGUAUUCCAUCAUGGUCUGAACGUCGGAGAACUUGUGCGAGGCACGGGGCCUGGGUGGACAGCGAAGAGGCCAGGAAAGAGAACCGCGCUCCUCGUCCCACAGGAGGCGGCCAGGCCCCCUUUCCGAGGCCACGGCCGCCUGCGCCCCCAGCGACCCCUGGGACGGCCGAGUCGCGGCCCCAACGCGGACCAGUGGGGGGGCAGGAAGGGCGGAAGGGGUGUCGUUGCUAUGUCACCGCGAGGAGAACUCUCUGGAAAUCUCCAUUUUUGAUCCCAUCGAAAUCACGUCUGGUUUCCACAACACCAAACCCAGUCAUUUUGCAGGUUUACGUCGUAUUCCCCUGUCCCCGCUCCUCUGUUCCCAGCUGUCUUCCCAGCACAGACCCCCUCUUCCACGUGAUGUUCUUGCUCUAUUUGAAUAUGAACUUUUCUAUGGUGGGACACUAAAUAUAAAUAUAUAUAAAGAGAGAAUGUACGGUCAGUUCCCUAUGGUUUCUGUAGGUUGUCCUCAUCUUGUCAAUUCCCCACAAAGCAGUUAGUUCACGGCCGUAAGGAAGAGGGACGGGGCCCUUCGGGGCCGGGCCUCCAUUGCCCCCUGGACCCUGUCGGUGAGCAGGUGCUACGGGGGCUGCUGGGGGCUUCCCUGCGGCCAAGCCCCAGGAGGCGAGCGGCGCCAGGGUCCCCCGACUCCGGCCUCGGCCUGGGCCCCUCCGCUGGCUUCAGCUUGGGACUCGCUGCUAAGUGUCAGACCCACCUGCUGUGCCCUUGGUAUCUGGAAACCCGGAUGGGUGACUGACUUUGACAAACGUUACUUUGGGUAUUUUUUAAUUAUUUUUUUUUCUCUUAGGGAAAAAAACAAAAAACAAAAACCCAGCCUCACAGCUCUCAGUAGGCGAUGGUAGGAAAGCUGUCCUGGGCUGGCAUUGGGCGAAUAGUGAGUGUCCCGUGAGCUGGUCCCUGGGCUCUGGAAUCCGGCCUGCCCACACUGUCCCUCCCAGGCCCAGGUGCCCGCUUUUUGGUCAUGGGGCAUUGGGUCAAGAAUUAGGAGAGGUGGAAAUCAUCCAGUGCCCCAUCUGUUGACAUGGAGCAUUGCGGGCACGAAACAGGAGGCGUGUGCGUUAGGAAGCAGAUGUCAGUAUAACCACAAGCCAGUUAGGAAAUAGAAGUCGUGACAGGAAGAGAUGCCCAGGAAUGUCCCUGCAGAGCCCCCCUUGCCUUUGCAGUGGCCCCACGUGCUGUGCCACGGCAGCCCCCAGCCCCCUACAGAAUGGCCCCUCGGUCAUUCUCGUGGCCACGCCCUCCUUCCUUCUCCCCUCCGGAACACCUGCCGGGUCUCAGAGAGGCUGGCCCUUCCCAGGCCACCCACGGCUGCCGCGUGGUGGGACGUGCAUCAGAAAUGCACAUCCUCAGGCCCCUUCGGGGCGGGCCUGGGAGGUCACAGAGGGAGAAGUGGCCACUGAAGAUUCUGCUGGGUUGACAUUCUGGGAAGUGCCACUCUCUUCCCCGCCCCCCUUUUUUUCUAGGAAAGGGGACACUAUUGGUCUUUCUUCCUUCACUGCAAAAGACCCACAUGUGUUUGCUCCAGGUCACCAGGGUCAGGCAUAGAGGCGUGGCUAAGGGACUGUCCUCUGCCCCGCAACUAGAUGUCCCUUCUGUGGACAGGGAGGCCAUAGCUGGAUCACCUCAGCACACGUGUGUCUUCAGGGGCUGGUCUUGACUACAGGGAGGCCUCGGGGAGAGGGCCAGUUACCUGUGCAAGGCUGUUGAUUGCAGGUGGGGCAGGAACCAGACUCAGCCCGAGCCUCUGGGUCCCAUCUUAGACCCUGUCACCUGUGAGCCAUUGCCAGUGUUCGCAAAAAAUACCCCAUGGCUAGCAAACAGAUUUGGCUUUGAGGUAAAGCAAAUUCGAGUCAGGUCCUUGACGAAUCCUUCCCCCACACACCCCCAGCCCACCCAGUAUUCUCAUGGACCUUGUGGCAUCAGAACAGGCCCACCAGCCCCUUCUGGGGUCGUGCCGUCCCUGAGUGGCAGAGGUGGGGCUGGGAGGGCUCCCUGGAGGCGAGUUAUGUUUACAAGACAACAGCGUGCCAAGGUGACUUCCUGUGGUGGCAUUACUUCUAGUCAUCGGGCGACCCCACCCUCUCCUGUUUCUAUAAGUACACACUCUUUCCCGAGAGCCCUUUGAGCACAGCCUGGUGAAGGUAGUUGUCCUGUCUGUGGCGGUCUUUCCCACGUCGUCAUCAAAGCUAAAAUGAUGGUCUCUGUGAGUAUGUUUUGCAAAUUCAAAAUAUAGUUUGGUAAUUUUUUUUCCAGUUGAUUUUUAAGAAGAACUGCUGUACAGAGCUUGUACUUCUUCCAUUUUAUAGAUGGAAACCAUCCUUGAAAAUUGUUUAACUUAAAUAAAGAGAAGAUACUUUAUAGAUAUCGCGCUCUGGCGGUGGCUGCCAUCAUUCUUGUCCUUCACUGGAGGUUGGUGACAAGCGUUGGGGGACCGGGGAGACAGUCUGUCCACUCUGGGGGCCCUGCUCAGUGACCACUUCUUUUUUCUUUUUUUUUUUUUUAAGAUUUUAUUUAUUUAUUUGACAGACAUCAGUGACCAUUUCUUAUCACACUUUGAAAAAGUGUUCACUUUCAGCUGCAGUGCCCUCAUGCUGUGUGUCCUUAUUUGUAACACUAACCAUUAUCAUUUGUGCAGUGUUUCUGAUGGGCCAGGCACUGAGCCAAGCCCUGAACGUGUUCUCCUCGUCUGCUCACCCCGCUCGCCGUAACUUGUGAGACAGUGCCAUGGGCUGCCUUUCACAGCUGGCCCGAGAGGCUGCUGCUAGAAGCCCUGAACCUCCUCAAGGUCACGGGCUAACCUGCUCAAGGUCACGCCACUCCUGAGUCCGCCCUGGGUGCUCAGAACCUGCACACCAAACUGCUGUGGGGGUGGGGAGGCAAAUAUUUUCACAGCUUUUAUGGUAUUUAAAAUCCAGAUACUUGUUUACCAGUUAUCGGAGGCUCCCCAGUGCCAUCCGAGGCCGGCUGAGGGCCUUCCCCAUCAUCCUCAGCCUUGUAACAUGCCUACCUUCGAAAAACCCUGCAGGUGUAUCAAGAAAACACUGCCAUGGCCUGUUCUUUAUCUGGCAGUUUGGAUGGGGAUUGGGCGCUGGGAGGGGGAUACUGAACGGGCUGGCCCAGAUGAGGCUUUUCCAAUGUUCCAGAGACCACAUUCCUGUGUCCUCUUUCCCCAUUAUCUGAGACGACCAAAAACCCGGUUCUCUUGCCAUCUGAGAAACAGAGAGCUCUUAGCAUAAUUGUGCAGUGUCCCUCAGAGUCCUUUAGAAAUUGUGUGUGUGUGUGUGUGUGUGUGUGUGUUUCCUGCAUUGGCGUCAGGGAAGAGUUUAUUCAUUCGGUAUUUAUUGAGAAACUGUGUGGUCCUGACCAUCCCGAAGACCUAGCAGGGGAGGAAAGGUUCAAGGCCAAGCAACGGGACAGGGUGCUGUGCAGCUCCGAGUGCGGGCUUCGCAGAGACGCAGCUCGGUAGUGGAGUCGGGUGUGGAAGGAGUUUCGGCUGCUUCAGGGGGACGGGAGCUCUCGGAGAGGAUCAGAUUUGCAACAUUUUUUAUAACAAAGUUUGUAACCUGACUCAGCAGUACCCACCACCCUUUUAAAAAAUAUUCAGCCAAGAAAAAUAAAAUCUCUUCUCAUGCUCUUUUCUGUCCAUGGACCUACCUAAAAGAAAAAAAGAAAAUUCUCUUUUGAGACCAAUUUAUUGCCAUUCCUAACCAGUUUACCAGUAAUACAACGUGUAGGUAUUUGAUUUUCUCUAUUAUACGAGCUGCAAAUGAUACACAUCGGUUCCAAAAUAACUGUAGGACUGGAGGGUCCCAAAGCAGUAAUGAGAGAUGGCUUGGCAGCCCCUGCCUGAACCCCUGGGGGCCAGGACCCAGGGUGCCAGCGCUGGGACAGGGCUGCAGAACAGACCACUGUGGGCCUCACCCCAAGUUACCCCUGCGGGAGAGCCAGACUUUGAACCAGGCCUUGAAUGCAGUUAUGAGAGCAAAGACUGCCUCAAAAAGGCACAGGCCUCCUCGGUGCUGCGUGGAGAACUGUCUGGGGGAGGGGGUCACCAUCCGAGGCUGACACGUGAGACCUCAGCGGGCCAGGCUCCGCUGGCGAAUUUACAGAAAUGAGCUGUCAUGUUGCUCUCGAACUGCAGAAGAUUCUCUGUUGGAGCACUUGGAGUUGAGCGUGAGAAAUCUCAAUUACGUGCAG
ensembl:lncRNA